UAGAGUUUGAUCCUGGCUCAGAUUGAACGCUGGCGGCAUGCUUUACACAUGCAAGUCGAACGGCAGCGCGGGGCAGCCUGGCGGCGAGUGGCGAACGGGUGAGUAAUAUAUCGGAACGUACCCAGAAGUGGGGGAUAACGUAGCGAAAGUUACGCUAAUACCGCAUACGAUCUACGGAUGAAAGUGGGGGACCUUCGGGCCUCAUGCUUUUGGAGCGGCCGAUAUCUGAUUAGCUAGUUGGUGAGGUAAAGGCUCACCAAGGCGACGAUCAGUAGCUGGUCUGAGAGGACGACCAGCCACACUGGGACUGAGACACGGCCCAGACUCCUACGGGAGGCAGCAGUGGGGAAUUUUGGACAAUGGGCGCAAGCCUGAUCCAGCAAUGCCGCGUGAGUGAAGAAGGCCUUCGGGUUGUAAAGCUCUUUUGUCAGGGAAGAAACGGCUCAGGCUAAUAUCCUGGGCUAAUGACGGUACCUGAAGAAUAAGCACCGGCUAACUACGUGCCAGCAGCCGCGGUAAUACGUAGGGUGCAAGCGUUAAUCGGAAUUACUGGGCGUAAAGCGUGCGCAGGCGGUUUUGUAAGUCUGUCGUGAAAGCCCCGGGCUUAACCUGGGAAUUGCGAUGGAGACUGCAAGGCUUGAAUCUGGCAGAGGGGGGUAGAAUUCCACGUGUAGCAGUGAAAUGCGUAGAGAUGUGGAGGAACACCGAUGGCGAAGGCAGCCCCCUGGGUCAAGAUUGACGC
rnacentral:rRNA from 1 species